rnacentral:lncRNA from 1 species
AUUUGACGAGCGACACCUACGGGGUCGUGCGGCAAAAACUUUCUCUGUCCGCGGGCGCCACUGCAGCGACACCUGCCGUGUGGCUCCAACACUAUUGGCUCAGUCUGUGCGCCCACGCCGUGCCGCGAGCACCGAUCCUACACAUUGUUCAGCGUUCUUGUCUUUCCGAUUGUAGUUGGACCACAUCUGGCAUGCUCGUCGUAGGGGACAGCUAUGCUGUCCACCUCCCCCGCCGCUGUUCGCCCCACCUUGCCGUGGCGGCGGCCGGUGUUCGCGGAGGCUGCGUCAAUGACGACGGCUUCAGGCGCUGGGCCAUCCGGGCCGCAGUUCGUGCCCGUCCUCGCGUGGUCACGCUCGUGGCGGGCGGAAAUGACCUCGCCAGAAGGGACUGCCGCGUUCAGCGGUGGCUCGCCAACCUCCAGGAACUGACGCUCGGGCUCCUGGCAGCCGGAGUCGUUCGCGUCUAUGUGCUGCCCAUCCCUCCGCGCACAGGCUUUCCAUCCAGCGGCGUGUCGGCGCGAAUUUUCCGGCGGCGGCGCUGGGUGGCCAACAAACUGUUGCGCCGCCUUUUCCGCCAACCGCCGGUGCUCCUGCUCCACUUUGUGCCGCCACCUGACUUUCUGGCGUCGGAUGGGGUUCAUCCGUCCGCGGCCGGGUGGCGCACCCUGGAGAGCGUGCUACAGGAGGCUAUGGACGCCUCCUCCGGGAUUUAGCGUGUACCGGGUCGCUCCCGUGCUGUGUCGUGUGUGUCCCCCCCCCCCCCCCUCCUAACCGGCUGGCCGUUUAAAUACACAUUCCCGCUAACAUCGUCGUCUAUUUUCAUGCAUUCGGAGCUGCUAUGUCACGGGCCAAGUCGUCGGCGGGCCGUGCCCCGGCACGCCCCCUGCCAGCGCCACGGACGGACGCGCCGCGACGCGCCACUACGAGACGCUCCGCGGCGGCCGCGGCCGCGUCUGGCGCUGGUGCCACGAGCCGCCGCCCGCCCGCUGCUGCGGCGAGGCGACAGGCCGCAGUGAUGGCCACCACUCCGCCCAAUCCAGGGCGGGGCCAUGCUGCUACAACGUCGGCCGCCGCCGCCUCGCCCCCUGACGCCGCGGUCAUCGACCCCGCCGCUCUUCAAACAAUGGUGGGCGACAUGGUCCGGGCCGCCGUCGCCGCCGCUCUACCUGCCAGCGAGCCAUCACCGCCGGCGACGGUCGCCGUGCAGCGCGGUCCGGCACAGCGUCUCCAGGAUGGGCCAGCUGCCCAUCUGACGUCCGCCGACCACGCCUACACGCCGGCUGCCGAACUGCAAGCCGGGCCAAUGGCGCUCCCGGCGGUUCUCUCCGGCGCCCCUCCGACCGCCGCCGGCCCUGCUCCACCUGCGCACCUGCCAGCGGCGCAGUUGCCCGUCGCCGGCCGUCCGCCGGCGCCGGUGGAAAAUUGCCGCAGGUGACGACCUAGCGGCCCGCGCUGCCGUAUCCCCCGCGGUGGCGGCCCUCAUCGUGUCCCAUCAAUUCAUUGACCUAAACACUCUCCUCAACGACUCUAUCCCCCCGGCAGAACCAGGGCUGUUUUGCCUUAUCGACGGCCGUCUCCGUCCCUCGGUACAGCGCCGCCCAAUCCCGCAUUUCGGCGCCUGGGCCACCGCGUUUCUUCGAUACGCGGCCGUGUACUUGGCUGCCCACCCCGCUGACGCCUCCGGUCUGUUGCGCCACAUGCAACAAGUGUCCUCGCUGCAGGCGCCCGGCCUUGGAUUCGCGUGGCGCGAUUUCGAUGAGGCCUUUCGGCGCGCACGGGGCCUCUGCCCGGAAGCUCACCCAUGGGGCUCCACGGCGGCCACGUCUCCCAUUUGGCUCACCGCAAUCGCUCGCGGAAUCGCCGGUUCUCGGGCCGGGUCUGCAGCCGGUGUAAGCGGCGAGGGUCGGGGCGGCUCUAGCCGGCCGGCCGCCGCGUCUGGCUCUUUUCGCGCGCUCUGCCUCGGCUACAAUCGCGCCGCCGGGUGCCGCCGGUCCCCGUGCCUGUUCCGGCACGAGUGCCGCCUCUGCCGUGGCCCCCAUAGCGUGCUCGCCUGCCCUCGCCGCGCCGCCCCAGCCCUCCCCGGCACCCGCCGCCCCGGCCGCGAAUGACUCCCUCAGCUGCGGCUGCCAGCUGACAAGCUGGCACGUGCCAGGGCAGGCCUCACGAGCCUGCUGGCCCGCCGGACAGCGCCCCUCCGCAUGGUCCGUGAAUGCACGGGGCUCCUCAGCUUUGCGUGCACCGCAGUGCCACUCGGUCGCCCGUUCCUACGGCGCAUGUUCGACUUGUGUCGCGGCGUGUCGCGCCCUCACCACCGCGUCACGAUCACCCGGGCGGCCAGACAGGAUAUGCGCGCCUGGCUGCUGUUUCUAGACCGUUUCCCAGGCCGCGCGAUUCUCGCUCACCGGCGCUGGUUGUUGGAGCCGGGUCUUAUCCUGGAGACGGACGCCUCCAGCUCGGUCGGGCUCGGUGCCAUCUGCGGCGAGGACUGGCUCCUGGGGCCGUGGCCCGCGUCCCUCCGCGAGGCCCCUAUCAGCGUUUUGGAACUAGUGGCUGUCGCUGUAGCCGUGCACGUGUGGCGAGAUCGGUUCGCGCAUCGCUGCGUCCUUGUGCGCUCAGAUAACUCCGCUGUGGUGGCCUGUAUAACCUCUCAGUCAUCUCGCUCGCCUGCCCUAAUGCCAUGGCUCCGAUUCCUUUUUCUCACCACCGUCUCUCAUAACAUUCUCGUGCGUGCCGUGCACAUACCCGGCAUCGCCAAUGCAGCAGCUGACGCCCUGUCCCGCGGUCUUGUGCAGGUCUUCAAGGAGCUCCGCCCGUCCGCAGCAGCCACGCCGACGUCCUGGGACUGGCCGGCCUGCGGCACGCUCUCACCGUUCACCAGCUAGCUGGUGCCGCGCUAGCUCCUGCCACCAUUCGCUCUUAUCGAGCAGUGUGGGGCCAAAUCCGCGUUUUCCUCACUCUGCCGCCCACUGCUGCCCUGUUUCCCAUCUCAGUGGCCGACACUGCUGAUUUCCUGGCCUCUCGACACGAGCAGGGCUGUUCCGCUUCCACCCUCGCCGCCGAGGCGUCUGCCAUCUCCUACGGCCACAAGCUAGCCGGCGCGCCGGAUCCCACGGCGGACUUCCGGGUGCGACAGCUGUUAGCGGGAUCCCGCCGGCUACGGCCGAGUGCGGACAACCGCCUCGCCGUCUCCCUGACCGAGCUCGGCGAGCUCUGCGCCGCACUCCAUUUCCUAGGCCUCUCCCCGGUAGACCGUGCUGCAUUCCGUGCCAUCUUUACAUUGGCUUUCUUUGCUAUGCUUCGCCCGGGCGAGGUCGUGCGCGGCCGAGACCUGACCCACACAGUCCGACUCAGCCACGUGAGUCUCGUCGGCCCCCAGCUUUCUCUCACCAUUCCAUCCUCAAAAACGUCGGCCUCCCCGUUCACCACCACGCUUCGAGCCCGGCCUGAUCUUGCCACGUGUCCGGUCGCCGCUGUCCGCGACUACCUCGCGGUCCGCGGCACGGGCCUUCCUGAUGACGCACUGUUUAUCGGCGGCCAUCGCCGCCCUCUGACAUCGCGCGAUCUCACUCGCGUACUUCGCAUGGCGGGCCGUCGAGCUGGUCUCAACCCAGCCCGCCUCUCCGGGCACUGCCUUCGCAUCAGCGGCGCCUCCCACGGCGCCGCAGUCGGACUAACGGAGCCCCAACUCUGCCACGCCGGCCGCUGGUCGUCCCAGGCCGUGCGGCGAUACGUACGGCGGCCGGUCUCCCUCCUUCAGGCAUCCUAAGCGGCGGGUCCCGUCCAAAGAGGGUUAACGUUGCCGGCCUUCCACCGCUACCGCUCCCAAACCCGAGCCACAGCUGCCCGUUCUAGGUCUGGGUGCACGGGCCGCGCCCUAGCAGGCGUAGCGGCAGUCCCGACGCUGCCUGUUCAGGCCCGGGCUCCCAAACCGCCGCCCUCGCAGGCGGAGCGGCGGCGUCCUUGGCCACCUGCCUGUUUUCGGUCCGGGAUCCCGGACCGCCGCCUUCACGGGCGAGCGGCAGUCUUGUCAGCUGCCUGUUUUAGGUCCGGGCCCCCGGACCCCCGCCUCACGGGCGGAGCGGUAGUCUGUCAGCUGCCUGUUUCAGGUCCGGGCUCUGGGACCGCCGCCCUCGCCGGCGGAGCGGCAGUCCCAACUCCCCGGCUGCGCGCCACAGUGAUGUAUCUGUAUAUAUGUAACGUCGGGCUCGCGUGUUCAUUGUUGGUUUAGCUCGCCCGCACAGCUAUAACCCAGAUGAAACUGCAGUUUCUACGCCACAGCCGCACCGCCGACGGUGCCAUGUUUGUGCGUCGCGUGAGGUGAAUUACGCCGUGCGCGGCAUGUCAUGUCCUCUGCCGUCGCGUUAUCGCCACGUCUGUUAAUCCAGAGGCAUCCAUCGUUUUCCAUUAGCUUUCUGCCGCCCUGGCAAUUUUGUUCAUAGCGAAUGCCUCUCCGUUCCGCGCGGGUGCAGAUGGGGUGUUGGGCGUAAUCUGCACCCAAAGUGCAUGACGGGUGUACAAACGUACGAAUACACAGACCCAUAUUCAUCA